rnacentral:lncRNA from 10 species
CAGACUCUAAGUAUGCUUACCUAGUCCUCCAUGCUCACGCAGCAAUAUGGAGAGAAAGGGAAUUCCUAACUUCUGAAGGAACACCUAUCAAACAUCAGGAAGCCAUUAGGAGAUUAUUAUUGGCUGUACAGAAACCUAAAGAGGUGGCAGUCUUACACUGCCGGGGUCAUCAGAAAAGAAAGGAAAGGGAAAUAGAAGGGAACCGCCAAGUGGAUAUUGAAGCCGAAAGAGCCACAAGGCGGGACCCUCCAUUAGAAAUGCUUAUAGAAGUAUCCCUAGUAUGGGGUAGUCCCCUCUGGGAAACCAAGCCCCACUACUCAGCAGGAGAAAUAGAUGGGUUUCACUCGCAUCCACCUCUGUGGGAAGAGACCACCAAACAGGCUUGGUGUGAGCAACAAGGCUAUUUAUUUCACCUGGGUGCAGGCGGGCUGAAUCCGAAAAGAGAGUCAGCGAAGGGAGAUGGGGUGGGGCCGUUUUAUAAGAUUUGGGUAGGUAAAGGAAAAUUACAGUCAAAGGGGGGUUGUUCUCCGGCGGGCAGGGGUGGGGGUCACAAGGUGCUCAGUGGGGGAGCUUUUGAGCCAGGAUGAGCCAGGAGAAGGAAUUUCACAAGGUAAUGUCAUCAGUUAAGGCAGAGACAGGCCAUUUUCACUUCUUUUGUGGUGGAAUGUCAUCAGUUAAGGCAGGAACAGGCCAUUUUCACUUCUGUGAUUCUUCACUUGCUUCAGGCCAUUUGGAUGUAUACGUGCAGGUCACAGGAGAUACGAUGGCUUAGCUUGGGCUCAGAGGCCUGACAAUGGGGAACCUCAUGAGGACAUAGUUUCCUCCCCUCAGGAUGGUUAGCCACCAAAGAAGGAAAAAUACUUUUGCCUGCAGCUAACCAAUGGAAAUUACUUAAAACUCUUCACCAAACCUUUCACUUAGGCAUUGAUAGCACUCAUCAGAUGGCUGAAUCUUUAUUUACUGGACCAGGCCUUUUCAAAACUAACAAGCAGAUAGUCAGGGCCUGUGAAGUGUGCCAAAGAAAUAAUCCCCUGCACUGCAGGCCAUACAUUUCAAUCCCUGUAUCUUUUUAACCUCCUUGUUAAGUUUGUCUCUUCCAGAAUCGAAGCUGUAAAACUACAAAUCGUUCUUCAAAUGGAGCCCCAGGUGCAGUCGAGGACUAAGAUCUACCGCAGCCCCCUGGACCAGCCUGCUAGCCCAUGCUUCGAUGUUGAUGACAUCAAAGGCACCCCUCCCGAGGAAAUCUCAACUGCAUGACCCCUACUGCGCCCUAGUUCAGAAGGAAGCAGUUAGAGCAGUCGCUGGCCCGCCUCCCCAACAGCACUUGGGUUUUCCUGUUGAGAGGAGGGACUGAGAGACAGGACUAGCUGCGUUUCCUAGGCCGGCUAAGAAUCCCUAAGCCUAGCUGGGAAGGUGACUGUAUCCACCUUUAAACACAGGGCUUGCAACUUAGCUCACACCCGACCAAUCAGGUAGUAAAGAGAGCUCACUAAAAUGCUAAUUAGGCAAAAACAGGAGGUAAAGAAAUAGCUAAUAUCUAUCACCUGAGAGUACAGGGGGAGGGACAAUGAUUGGGAUAGAAACCCAGGCAUUCGAGCCGGCAACGGCAACCCCCUUUGGGUCUCCUUCCAUUUUAUGGGAGCUCUGUUUUCACUCUAUUAAAUCUUGCACCUGCAAAAAAAAAAAAAAAAAAAAAACGUUGACAUAAAAAAUUCUUUCAAUCUACAAUACUAUACCCAGCAGAAAUAUCUUUCUAAAGCAAAGGAGACAGUGAUGUCAACAAAAUGGCAGACUAGAAAACUCGAAGGAUUGUUCUUCACUUCAGAACAUUGAAAAAACAAGCAGGAACUGUCUGAACAAACUUUGUUGGUGCUCUGGAAAACAACCCAGUGUUAACAGCAACCAAGCAAAUGCCCAGUCAAGAAAAAGACAUCUUGGCUGGACAUGGUGGCUCACGCCUGUAAUCCUAGCACUUUGGGAGGCCAAUAUGGGAGGAUCACUUGAGGCCAGGAGUUCAAGAUCAGCCUGGUCAACAUAGUGAGACCCUAUCUCAUUUUAAAAAAGAAAAGA